UCAAACUGCCCAAUCUGAAGCCUACAUUCUUUUUUUACCAUCUAACAGGUAAACCAUGAGCAGCAAGAUUCUUCACAUUGCCCCAUCAAUGUGCUUCAUCCCUCACCUGGAGGGACCACUUCCAGGGGGGUGAGAGGAGAGGUCAGGCUUUGAGGUGCAUUUGGUCCUUGGCUUCU
rnacentral:sRNA from 1 species